UACGGAGGGGGCUAGCGUUGUUCGGAAUUACUGGGCGUAAAGCGCACGUAGGCGGCUUUGUAAGUUAGAGGUGAAAGCCCGGAGCUCAACUUCGGAACUGCCUUUGAUACUGGGUAUCUUGAGUAUGGAAGAGGUAAGUGGAAUUGCGAGUGUAGAGGUGAAAUUCGUAGAUAUUCGCAGGAACACCAGUGGCGAAGGCGGCUUACUGGUCCAUUACUGACGCUGAGGUGCGAAAGCGUGGGGAGCAAACAGG
rnacentral:rRNA from 1 species